rnacentral:rRNA from 2 species
CAGACCUCUAAUCGGAAAAGACUACCCGCUGAGUUUAAGCAUAUCACUAAGCGGAGGAGAAGAAACUAACCAG